ensembl:lncRNA
CCAARGGCCGGGCGGCCGGUGGCGGGGGGGUGUGAGGUUGCGCGUUGCAGCUCUGCUUCAGCGCUGCUCGCGGGCCCGGCCUGGGAGGGCUGGCGAGGGCGGCCGCGGCCGUUGCUGUUGCUGUUGCUGUUGCGUGGGGCGAGCGGUGGAGCGGGCUGCUGGGCCCCGUGCGGGGAGCAGAGGCGGCCGCCAGUAGGGGCUGCGGAAGCGCGUGUUUGGUACUUGGGCUUUAGCGAAGGCUCCUACAACCUGUUGCCGGUUGAAAACGUUUCAAGUAUGCAUGUAAAAAAAUCCCGUUAACUUGGUAUAGGGUGUUUUGGGAAGUCAGCGUGGCCUUCUUGAGCUUACAUUUAAAACCCUCGUGAUGGGCUGGUGCAGUUCUGCCCCUUUACUGGAAAAAGAAAGAACAUACAGUGCGUCCAGCUCUGUGGUGAAAAGCAGCGUUUCUGCGCCUUGUUGGCUUCUGCUUGCGUUGGGUUUGCGCCUCGGGGAGCCUACGGGUCGUAAUGGCUGCUUGGACCUGGGCCCUUGGCAAAGGGCUUGCUGCAGAGACGCGCGAGGUGACGUCCCUGGGGUCACGUUGGGAGCAUUUAUCUUGGGUCGUGUGAUUUCCUCUUAAACUUAGAAAUGGGUUUCAAGGUGUCCACAGAAGCCCUCAUCGACCGCUCCCGGGACAGUUAGUGAAGCCAGGCCUGAAGCACCUGGAGCUGGAUGGUUUUAUAAAGGAUGAGAACUCCUGGUCUGCAGAGCUGCUGUGGGAUUUUAGAUGCAAAAAACACGGUGCGGAGCAGUUUGUGAUGUGACUGGUGCAGGGUAUGUGCUCAUUUCAGUUCUGCCUUCUAACAACUGAGAUGAAAAUGAUGCAGAGGACAGCGGUGUGCAGACAGCUGGCCCUGAUGUCACCUCCAUUCAACAGUUCAUCUUCUGAACCUGUUCCCAUUGUCCCAGGGAAGUCACUUACAUUGUGGCCAUCCUACUUAUGUCUUGGGCAAAACUGGCUUUCCACUUUUACCUCUGAGGAACCUCUGCUGCUGUAUCCACACAGAGAGAAGAUAUGUACUGCAUGGCCGGGCACUGAAAAUUAUUAGCCRUUACUGUUGCCUCCCUAUUGCUUGCAAGGAGUGGCCUGAAACGGAGGGGUCCACUCUGACACUGAACAGUUUUGACUAUUCUGACAGACUCUGCGAGUGUUUCAUCACUGACUGCAAUGAGAGAAGGACUUAAGUGCUUUAUGUCCGUUUUCUUUGCAGAUGUAAAAAACAAUCAAUGUCCGAUACGCGGUGGGAUUGUAAUGAAGAAUAUGUACGUGCUAAGUAAUUAUUUAUGAAUGUAUGUAUAUUUCUGCCAAUAUGCAUUUAUUGGAUGCACUAAUAAUACCAGUAAUAAUGCAAGUGCUGUUUGUCAUCCAUGCAACAACUCUAUUGUGAGCUCAUGAAACUUUGCAGUUAUUCAAGAUAGCUUUUUUAUUUUUUUGCUAAAGAAAAAAAUCAGUAUUCCUCAAUAUAAAGACAUUUUGAUAUUGAUACCUAAUUUUUCUAGCUGGUAAAGUACGCUUAAUGAUUUGAUGUUUUUAAUGGAAAGUAUUCAAAUAAAUAGUUUCCAGUGCUAAUGUUAAUUGAAAAU